rnacentral:rRNA from 1 species
AACGCAUUUAUAAACAACUUUCAACAACGGAUCUCUUGGCUCUCGCAUCGAUGAAGAACGCAGCGAAAUGCGAUAAGUAAUGUGAAUUGCAGAAUUCAGUGAAUCAUCGAAUCUUUGAACGCAUCUUGCGCUCCUUGGUAUUCCGAGGAGCAUGCCUGUUUGAGUGUCAUGAAUCUCUCAAACUCAAAAGUUUUGUUAACAACAACACUUUUUGAAGUUUGGACUUGGAGGCUUUUUGCUGGCGAAAGUCAGCUCCUCUUAAAAGUAUUAGCUUGGGUCUUUGUAUGUUUGGAUCCUUGGUGUGAUAAUUAUCUACGCCAUGAUGUCCCUUCAAACCCUGCUUCUAUUCGUCCUUGAAUUUGAGGACAACUUUAUUCUAUUGACCUCGUCCUCAAAUCAGGUACGAGACCCGAGACUUUG